rnacentral:rRNA from 1 species
AUUGAACGCUGGCGGAAUGCUUUACACAUGCAAGUCGAACGGCAGCACGGGGGCAACCCUGGUGGCGAGUGGCGAGCGGGUGAGUAAUACAUCGGAACGUGCCCAGUCGUGGGGGAUAACUACGCGAAAGCGUAGCUAAUACCGCAUACGAACUCUGGUUGAAAGCGGGGGACUCGCAAGAGCCUCGCGCGAUUGGAGCGGCCGAUGGCAGAUUAGGUAGUUGGCGGGGUAAAGGCUCACCAAGCCGACGAUCUGUAGCUGGUCUGAGAGGACGACCAGCCACACUGGGACUGAGACACGGCCCAGACUCCUACGGGAGGCAGCAGUGGGGAAUUUUUGGGACAAUGGACGCAAGUCUGAUCCAGCCAUUCCGCGUGCAGGAUGAAGGCCCUCGGGUUGUAAACUGCUUUUGUACGGACGAAAAGGUGCUUUCUAAUACAGAGCGCUCAUGACGGUACCGUAAGAAUAAAGCACCGGGCU